rnacentral:rRNA from 1 species
AAUCUUGCGCAAUGGGCGAAAGCCUGACGCAGCCAUGCCGCGUGAAUGAUGAAGGNCUNNGGAUUNUNAAAUUCUUUCACCGGNNNNNAUAAUGACGGUCCCCGGAGAAGAAGACCCGGCUAACUUCGUGCCAGCAGCCGCGGGAAUACGAAGGGGGCUAGCGUUGCUCGGAAUUACUGGGCGUAAAGGGAGCGUAGGCAGACAUUUAAGUCAGGGGUGAAAUCCCAGAGCUCAACUCUGGAACUGCCUUUGAUACUGGGUGUCUUGAGUGUGAGAGAGGUAUGUGGAACUCCGAGUGUAGAGGUGAAAUUCGUAGAUAUUCGGAAGAACACCAGUGGCGAAGGCGACAUACUGGCUCAUUACUGACGCUGAGGCGCGAAAGCGUGGGGAGCGAACAG